AGUAGCAGGGAAGAGGAAGUGCCCUAACUCACCCGCUGAGAUAGGAAAAUUUCAGGCUUAUCCUCUCAAAUGUACAAAUCCCAUUCUAGAUGAGACAGUGUGGAAGUGGCUCUCUGGUUAGCGCUCAGAGUUCUAGCUGAACAAUUUGUUUAUGACCAGGCAGAGAAAAUAUGCCUUCAGAGAAAGAAUCUACAAGGAGAAAGGCAUUAUCUGAACUGGAGAUGGCCUGACUGAAGAGAGCUUUGCAUACCUCUGCUCAGAUGACUGUUACUUGAUUCUUCAAGUCUCAGAGCUACUCUCCCUUCCUCCCCCUCCACUUCCAGCUCCCUAUCUGCAAGAUGAAAGGGACCAAUCUAAGAUUUCUAGAAGAUUCUUGGAACCCAGAUGUAAUUAAAUUAACAUCUUCUGAAUGUCUGCAUCUGCUAUGUGCAGUACGGUAUGGGAUCUAACUCAUGUCCUCUGCAUUGGAAAUGGAAUCUUAACAGCUCCCACUAGACUGCCAGGUGACCAAAGUAUUGGAGCUUCA